CAGCUAUUUGUUUCACCUAUUUUCUGAUAAGGUGUGUUAUGCUAUGAGAAGCACUGGCCAAUUAACACAAGAAGAAGAGUACCCUGUAUAGGUUAGGUGUCAAUCUUAGAUGGGCCUCAAAAGUUCUAAUAGCACAAAGGAAGAAGAUGUAAAUGUAGAUGAUGUAGCUGCUGCUUUUGAUGAUUCUAAGGUUAUAGGGUAUUUGGAUACAGAUGUUGCUGAAUAUUUAUAUAAUUCAAAGCUUGAUGCCGAUUCGUUGUA